UGGAUAAGUACAUAGUUACAGAACACGGAUAAGUACAUAGUUACAGAACACUGAUGAGCGAUGACUGCAUCACAGUAGUGACGACUGCAUGAUCAGUGAUAACCGAAACUCUGAAAAACAAAUUUUCAACUAAAUAAUUUUCCGGAACAGCAAGAAUAAAAAAAGGUUAUUUCAAUGAUGUUAGAGUCAUAGUGCCAUUAAUGUGCCUGUCGAGUGCAGUGGCUACUUUUUAAAAGUAUAUAAUUUUAUUUUUCACAUCAGUGCUUGUUCUCUUAGUUAUAAUAAAAAAUUCUCGCAGGAAAUUUUUAAUUAGUUUAGCAGGAAAUUUCUAUUUUUGGAUUUUGCUGCCAGGAAGAGAAAUACUUUAUCCAGGCCUGAAGGGGACUAACCUUGUAUGCAGGGCCUUAUAGAAUUAAAAAAAAUCUGGAUAGGAUGUUACAAGGUUACAAGGCCGUUGGAAGUAAAUCAAUUUGGGGAGGGGGGGCCAAGAUGAUGGCCUUGUAUAAUGUGUGACAUUGUCAUAUUUUAUGCUCAAGUAAAUAGAAAGUAUUUCAGCAAGCUAAAUCAUCAUUUUGUUUAUAGCCUGGGCAUAGCUGGAGUAAUGGUCAGAGGUUUACUCCUCAGUGGCAUAACUCCUAAGGGCUGUGCCUGGCAAGAGCCAGGGGGUGUGCCUUGUCAAUUAGGAAGGUCCCUGGGCUAAUCUUUAUGCAGUGUUUGGAAAGCUCUCCCUGUUAACACUCUG